CACAUUGAAACACCAGUUCCCGUACAAUCACCGAAGUUAAGCAAUGUCAAACCUGGUUAGUACUUAGAUGGGUGACUGCUUGGGAAUACGGGGUGCUAUA